rnacentral:lncRNA from 1 species
AUGCCCAGGGCAUCUACCCAGCAGCAUUCUCCCCCCAAAUCUGCAGGUUUGGAGGCAUGGGGGGGCAGCAGAUCUAUUGUGAGGAAGCCAAGAAGUGGAUGUCUGUCUACUCUGCUCCCUCCCACAGAGCACGGAUGUGAAACUCACCCAGAGUGGACGCUGAAGCUCAGCUGCUGGGUGUUCUUCCAGUUCUGGAGACUGCACAGCUUCCUGCUCAAUGUCAGCUGGACCUUCUUCCGGGAGAGAAGCAACUGCCGUCGGACACAUUGCUGGGGAAAGCCAGACAUGAGCCUCCUUCAGCACCGGACAGAGCCUAGGAUCCGGCUGGGCUCAGGACCUCCCCUCCCAUCUCUAGUCCCAUGAGGUGAGUCGGCCCUCUUCAAUGAAGCUCUCCACUCAAAACCAGGCCUCCCUCAGCUGGCAAGGGGAGGUGCCAAAGAUUGUAUGUAUGCCUGUGGGGGUCCCAACACUGUCUCAGGCAGUAGUACCCAGUGUGGUGUGCACGUGAACUAGCAGAUGGAACACCACCUUUCAUCCCUAGGGUGUGCAAACUCUUACACUCAAUGACACUUCACAAGGGAGCCAACCUUUUUGUAGCUUUUGCUCAGCUAAGCUCCCACGUUGGAGCACUAUUUCAAGUCUCAGCUGCUCCACUUCCCAUCCGGUCUUCUGCUUGUGUGCCUAGGAGUACAGCAGAUCCAGACCCAAGUACUUUGGCCCAGCACCCAUUUAGGAGAGUAGUAGGAGUUCCCUGUUCCAGGCUCCAUCCUGGCCCCUACCUGACUGUUGGGGUCCUGUGGGAAGUGAACCAGAGGAAGGAAGACCUCUCUGUCACCACCUCUUUUGCUCAUUUCUGUUUCCAAUGCAUAAAUCUUUGUGAAAAAUUACACACCACAUGGUAGUUUUCAGAUCAAUGUGGAACCUUUAUUUAUAAACACAGGCAAUGAGUUGGAUCUGGUUCCAGGGAUUUAAACCCUUGCCAUUUCACAAGGGAGGGAAGGCCAGGUUGGGUUGAGAAAUACCCAACACUCUCCCCACGUACCCAUGGUGCAGCAUGGAUGCUACAGAGAGCCCCCCAUAGCCCCCCCCA